GGAGAAAAAUCGAAAAUUAAUUCCACAGAAAAUUCUAAAGCCUCAAAAAGUGAUCCAGCAAAUUAGCUGAGGAACAAGAGUGAAACUAAGCCACAAGCAGGAUUUUAAAAUGCCAUCAAGAAGUCAUUAGAUGCACAGAUGCCCCUAUCUACCUGCACAGGCCUGCUGAGAGCAAUUACAACUUCAAAGAGUGAAACCUCUCCCUUCCAGGAUGCAGGGCAGGAAGCAGCCCUGCCACUGUGGAACGGGAAGAAUGCACACAUAAAAACACUCAUCUGGAAGUAGAACAGAAUGAUUGCACAUCCAAGAUCUUGAGACAAAUGGUGGAUCAAGAGGGUAAGGAUCAUUAAAGGAUGCAAAGCAAGGGUGCCAUGCAGGGCCUUCUCUUUGCCGAAAGUGGAGAAGGAGCGCUGUCCAUGCCGGGGACAUGCAGGUUGCUGCGGUAAUCUGCAGCCUGGCGUCCAUCCGAAGGGACAAAAGAAGGCAUCCAGCAUCGGUCAGAGUGGCCCAGUGCUUUACAUUCCUCGGUGCAGUUGGAGAAAAGAUCCAUACCUGAGAGAAGAGAAAUCGUAGAAAGGAAAAGGGAAAAGACGAGGAACUCCAGAUGUAUUCGACGGUCGGGGAAAUGUCAGAGAGCCGAUUCCAGGACCUGUGAUGUAAAUCAGAAGCAUCGACAUUGUUCUUACUAGUUCUCAGGACUCAGAUCGAAGGCCCAAAAUUUAGUAAGUUUAACUUACUAUUUUCUCUGUGGAAUGAAUGCAUUUAC
rnacentral:lncRNA from 1 species